GCUCCCUCACCCUUCUGCCAUGUGAAGAUACAACAAGAAGAUGGCACUGAACCUACCAGCAGCACCUUGAUCUGAGACAUCCCAGCCUCUAGAACUGUGAGGAAGAGAGGUUAUAAUCCCACCUGGAGCCACCUAAAUGAAGACCUGCUAGAUAUUUUUUUAAUCUACUAGACUACUUUGUCUUCAGAAAUUAAAGAGAGAUGCACCCCUGGAGUUACCUAUUCUGCCAUUUUCACGUCCCAGAAGCACC